AAAUGUAAUAUACAUAAGUAUUAGGCCAUGAUAUUCUAAUUCGAAAAUGUUAUAGAUUGGGUUCUCUUUUUUUGAUGUUGGUUAUAAAGAAAUAUGUACGUAAAUGUCAUCGUCGUUAGUUUCGCUGUUGCAUAAUAAUGUAAUUGGACUUCUUUGAUUCUUGCAGGAUAAUGAAAGCAUAUUUAAUUCAGACUAUCAGACUCAAUUGAAUACCAGUACAAAUAAUAUGGAAAAUGAAGAUACAAUACAUGGAAGACGAAUUAUAGAUUUUAGUUUUUUUAUAAAUCAAUUACUUAUAAUUGAUAAACAUGGUGAAAAGUUUGGUUGUCGAUUAAAUAAUUUAAAAAUUGUAAA